rnacentral:rRNA from 1 species
GACGAACGCUGGCGGCGUGCCCAAUACAUGCAAGUUGAGCGCUGAAGGUUGGUACUUGUACCGACUGGAUGAGCAGCGAACGGGUGAGUAACGCGUGGGGAAUCUGCCUUUGAGCGGGGGACAACAUUUGGAAACGAAUGCUAAUACCGCAUAAAAACUUUAAACACAAGUUUUAAGUUUGAAAGAUGCAAUUGCAUCACUCAAAGAUGAUCCCGCGUUGUAUUAGCUAGUUGGUGAGGUAAAGGCUCACCAAGGCGAUGAUACAUAGCCGACCUGAGAGGGUGAUCGGCCACAGUGGGACUGAGACAAGGCCCAAACUCCUACGGGAGGCAGCAGUAGGGAAUCUUCGGCAAUGGACGAAAGUCUGACCGAGCAACGCCGCGUGAGUGAAGAAGGUUUUCGGAUCGUAAAACUCUGUUGGUAGAGAAGAACGUUGGUGAGAGUGGAAAGCUCAUCAAGUGACGGUAACUACCCAGAAAGGGACGGCUAACUACGUG